rnacentral:lncRNA from 1 species
GGAAGUGAAUCAGCCGGGCCGGAUGCUGGGCGAGGACGACAAUGAUAUGUCAAGAGUGGAGUACCUUGUGCAGGGAGUCCAGGAGGAGCCACAGUAGAUGGUCUAAAGUUUGGAGUGGGUAAGACUUCUGUAGCGGAAGGUGAAGGAGGAGAUAGUAGACUCCCUAAAGGCCGAUAUAGGUAAAACCUCAGAUAUAUCAAGAUGGUCAGGAUGAACAGAAGAGGUAAAGAAAGGUUUAGACUCAAAAAAUGUGACAUCGGCUGACAUAAGGUACCUAC